UGGCGAGUUUGAUCCUGGCUCAGGAUAAACGCUGGCGGCGUGCCUAACACAUGCAAGUCGAACGCUCUGCGCAAGCAGGGAGUGGCGGACGGGUGAGUAACACGUGGGCAAUCUACCAUCAGGUGAGGAAUACCGGCGAGAAAUCGCCGACAAUACCGCAUACGCUCUUUCGCGAGGAAGAGCAAAGCUCGCAAGGGCGCCUGAGGAUGAGCCUGCGCUCGAUUAGUUUGUUGGUGAGGUAAUGGCUUACCAAGACUGCGAUCGAUAGCUGGUCUGAGAGGACGAUCAGCCACACUGGGAUUGAGAACGGCCCAGACUCCUACGGGGGGCAGCAGUGAGGAAUUUUCGUCAAUGGGGGCAACCCUGAACGAGCAACGCCGCGUGCAGGAUGAAGGUUUUCGGAUCGUAAACUGCUUUUCUCUGGGACGAGAACGGACGGUACCAGAGGAAUCAGCCCCGGCUAACUACGUGCCAGCAGCCGCGGUAAUACGUAGGGGGCAAGCGUUGUCCGGAUUUAUUGGGCGUAAAGCGCACGCAGGCGGUCAGAUCAGUCUGGGGUGACAGUCGUCGGCUCAACCGACGAAGUACUUCGGAUACUGUCUGACUUGAGGGCUUCAGAGGGACACGGAAUUCCGGGUGGAGUGGUGAAAUGCGUAGAUAUCCGGAGGAACACCGAUGGCGAAGGCAGUGUCCUGGGAAGUACCUGACGCUCAGGUGCGAAAGCUAGGGGAGCGAACAGGAUUAGAUACCCUGGUAGUCCUAGCCGUAAACGAUGACCACUAGACGUUGGGGGUAUCGACCCCUUCAGUGUCGUAGUUAACACAGUAAGUGGUCCGCCUGGGGAGUACGGUCGCAAGAUUAAAACUCAAAGGAAUUGACGGGGACCCGCACAAGCAGCGGAGCGUGUGGUUUAAUUCGAUGCAACGCGAAGAACCUUACCAAGGCUUGACAUGGAUUUGCACCAGCCGUAACUGGUUGUCCCUUCGGGGCGGAUCCACAGGUGCUGCAUGGCUGUCGUCAGCUCGUGUCGUGAGAUGUUGGGUUAAGUCCCGCAACGAGCGCAACCCCUGUCGUUAGUUGAAUUUCUCUAGCGAAACUGCCAUUUUAAAAUGGAGGAAGGCGGGGAUGACGUCAAGUCAGCACGGCCCUUACGCUUUGGGCGACACACACGCUACAAUGGUCAGGACAAAGAGUCGCGAACUCGCGAGAGGGAGCCAAUCUCGUCAAACCUGGCCUCAGUUCAGAUUGGAGGCUGCAACCCGCCUCCAUGAAGUUGGAGUUGCUAGUAACCGUAGGUCAGCACACUACGGUGAAUACGUUCCCGGGUCUUGUACACACCGCCCGUCACACCACGAAAGUUGGCAACACUUGAAGCCGCUGGGCUAACUCGCAAGAGGGGCAAGCGUCGAGGGUGGGGUCAGUGAUUGGGGUGAAGUCGUAACAAGGUAGCCGUACCGGAAGGUGCGGCUGGAUCACCUCCUUU
rnacentral:rRNA from 1 species